UCCCUGUUGCCAGGGCAGUCUAGCCUGAAAAAUACAACAGACUAUAAGGGUUGCGCUCGUUAAUGGACUUAACCAAACAUCUCACGACACGAGCUGACGACGGCCAUGCAACACCUGUCACUUGGCUCAAUAAAGCACUCUCUGCUUUCGCAGAAAUUCCAAGGAUGUCAAACCUGGGUAAGGUUCUUCGUUUACCAUCGAAUUAAACAACACGCUCCACCGCUUGUGCGGGUCCCCGUCAAUUCCUUUAUGUUUUAGUCUUGCGACCGUACUCCACAGGCGGGAUGCUUAACGCGUUAGCUUCGCUACAUCCGGGGUCGAUACCGAAUACAGCUAGCAUCCAUCGUUUACGGCGUGGACUAC
rnacentral:misc_RNA from 1 species